rnacentral:rRNA from 1 species
ACAGAGGGGGCAAGCGUUGUUCGGAAUUACUGGGCGUAAAGGGCGCGUAGGCGGCCUGCUAAGUCGAACGUGAAAUCCCUGGGCUCAACCCAGGAACUGCGUCCGAUACUGGUUGGCCUGAAUCCGGGAGAGGGAUGUGGAAUUCCCGGUGUAGCGGUGAGAUGCGUAGAUAUCGGGAGGAACACCCGUGGCGAAGGCGGCUCUCUGGACCAUAACUGACACUGAGGCACGAAAGCCGGGGGAGCAAACAGGA